rnacentral:lncRNA from 1 species
UUAAAUAAUAAAUACCCUCAUAAAUAACCUUAAUUAAAUGCCACCAAAUGAUUUGACAUCACUUUUUCAGAUGUGGCAAAAGGAAGUUCAUAUCAAUGUGUUUAUCAUCACAAUCACAGUAAUCCUCCAUUUUGCGGAGAAGUAAUUCCGUACAGAGCUUCAUCGUUCAGGCCUCCAUAGACCUUAGUUCUUCUAAACCAGACCUCUCU